ACACCGUUGGUGAAGUGGUUAUCAUGCUUGCCUUCCAUGGUUCUGGUCUCCUUCGGACAGCAAGCGGCUCGGGUUCGAUUCCCGAACGGUGUA